AUUCAAGCCGCUGCCUUUUUUUUAGAUAGAACAUUUUUUUUCUUUUUUUCUACAUGCUAGAUGCACGCCAUCUAUCCUCCUGGUUAUGCGACACAUGAAAUCGUGGAUAAGCGAUACUUAUCGCAUUGAGAAGAUGGUUUCCCAACUUUAAUGUAUUCUAUAUAUAUUUCUCUAGAACAGGAUAAUUUCAUAAAUAAAUUGACUCCGCGAGGCAAUUAGAUCAUGAAGUAUUGUGUUGGUUGGGAUUGAGAAGCGACUAUUCUAUCAAUUAUUUUAAACAGCUACCAAGUGAUGAAUCAAGGCAUCUUCUCCAUCUGUUUAUUUAUUUAUUUAUUUAUUUUAUUUUUCGAUGCUCAAAGCAAUUGCUGUAUAUGCCUCUACUAUGAUUUUGCAU
rnacentral:lncRNA from 1 species